rnacentral:rRNA from 1 species
GCGUUAUCCGGAUUUACUGGGCGUAAAGCGCGUGCAGGUGGCUCGGAAAGUUCGAUGUGAAAGCUCCCGGCUUAACUGGGAGAGGUCGUUGAAUACUUUCGGGCUAGAGGAUGGGAGAGGGAGGCGGAAUUCCGGGUGUAGUGGUGAAAUGCGUAGAUAUCCGGAGGAACACCAGUGGCGAAAGCGGCCUCCUGGCCCAUUUCUGACACUCAGACGCGAAAGCUAGGGUAGCAAACGGGAUUAGAGACCCCGGUAGUCCUAGCUGUAAACGAUGUAGACUUGGCGUUGGCGGGUUCAAAUCCGUCAGUGCCGAAGCUAACGCGAUAAGUCUACCGCCUGGGGACUACGGCCGCAAGGUUAAAACUCAAAGGAAUUGACGGGGCCCCGCACAAGCAGCGGAGCGUGUGGUUUAAUUCGAUGUUACACGAAGAACCUUACCAGGGUUUGACAUGCAAGUGGUAGGAAACCGAAAGGCGACCGACCCCUCGGGGAGCUUGCACAGGUGCUGCAUGGCUGUCGUCAGCUCGUGUCGUGAGAUGUUCGGUUAAGUCCGCUAACGAGCGCAACCCUCGUCGUGUGUUACAUGUGUCACGCGAGACCGCCGGUCUUAAGCCGGAGGAAGGUGGGGAUGACGUCAAGUCAGCAUGGCCUUUAUGUCCUGGGCUACACACACGCUACAAUGGCAAGUACAAUAGGUCGCGAAACCGCGAGGUGGAGCCAAUCCUCAAAGCUUGCCUCAGUUCAGAUUGUAGUCUGCAACUCGACUGCAUGAAGAUGGAGUUGCUAGUAACCGCAGGUCAGCUAUACUGCGGUGAAUACGUUCCCGGGGCUUGUACACACCGCCCGU